rnacentral:ncRNA from 1 species
AAUAAUGAAAUGCAUGGGACAAGUAGAUAUAGUAAUAAUGUCACAGCGAGCUGGGAUAGUGGAAGCCAGUACAAAUUAUAUAUAUUGAAAUCACCCAUUAGAUCUUCUCUUUUGAAACAUUCAGGAUUAGAAAGAGACGUUUCCUGCGUUAAAGGUCAUAAGCGUAAUUUAUCUACUAGACAGAAUAAGUGCACCGCACGAGUUUGAAGUUUUGAGAUAAGUUGUACUAGGGUGGUACCGCGAGUCAACCUCGUCCCUUUU